CCGCGUUAAGAUCAGUUGGUGGCGUGGUAGGCACAGAUGAAAGGUUGUUUCUAUUUCGAGUGGCGUUUCAAAAUGGACGAAAAAAAAAAUAUCUGCAAGGAAUGAGAUUGCAAAAAGGAAUUGCCUCAAGUGUUCUAAUAGGUUUUUGGCACGCUGGGGAAGAGGAGAAUGGAGGACGUGGUUGUGUGGCAUAUCUCCCUCGCGUGAUCGCAACGUUUCUCUCAGUCUCUCUGUAGCCCGGCUGAUUUGCGAGGCCAGCAGUGAAGAACACAACACAACAGUCGCAAGAGAAAUAUCGUUUGCAGUGCACUUUUCUUUUGCCAUUGCCAACAAGAAGGCGACAACGAUUCUUGUUGCAGAUCGAGUGAGACCUGCGCCGAGAGAAGCGCGAAAUACCGGAUAAAGAGCAAGUUGUCCGGCCGUCAAGACCUCACAAAGGACCAACAUCCAACACCCGAAAGACGUUCGUCGUACAUCGAGCGUGUCACGAUAUAAAAAAUUUAAUAACACUCAAAAUCACUCGUCGAGUCUAUCCUCGACUGGUCUGGGUUAGACUCGGUUGGCAGCCAUCACUUUCUCCCGUUCCGGCCACGUGACGAAGGAAAUCCCAUCGCCAGAGAAAUGCGGUCGAGCCAGCUUUUUCGACGAAUUCUGCUCCGCAUCAAAUUGGACGACGUCUGGCUCCUGAUGUGCGACGCUUGAUGGUCUCCUCACAAAGAUGAAGACUCGCAGACUGGACGCGUCAGCCGCCAGCUGGAAACGUACCUGACGAUUCCCGGUGAUUCUCCGCUCCGUCUUCAGAACGAAAUUAGCGAAUCUCCUUCGCUCCUGAUUGCCAGCGCCACUGUUUCAUUACAAAAGAAGAAUAUCGGUGGCGGCUGGAGGAGAACGAAUGGAACAAUGAGGAAAGGAGGCGUUCCCCUUCCAUCCAUCCCAGCAGCAGGAAGUCGAUCGGCUGAGUCGUUGGCUCUUUUGAUAUCUCCCCAGUCGGGACUCGGGAGAGAGAGACAACACGGAGAGUUGCGGCGAAUGGAAGAAAAAAUAAAAUAAAAAUAAAAAUGAACGCCAAAAGAUUCCGGAUGAGCGCGCGGACAUGCAGCCCCCCUUAACUGCACUCAACUCGGAGCGGAUGGGCGGAUCCUUUUUUAUUCCAAGACGAACUCGAUUCACCUCCAUUUUGGCCGACUGCGACGACCAGGUAACAGGUAAGAAAAAAUCCAUCCAAAUAACAACAUGUACAACAAUAACCCACCCAAGAAAGUGGAGGGGUGGGAUAUCAUCUUUCGCUAUUAGACGCAUCCAAAAGUAGUAAACUUGAAUUUCUUUUCUUCAAAAUGAAAUAAAAUAAAAUAAAGAUAAAAAAAUAAAAUAAAGUCAAACAAGACGGAGAGAGGGAAUAUGGCACAUCAUCAGUCCGUGAUUUCUUUUCCCACUUUUUGUUGGGUUGUUACCGUGUUUCCUCACUCAGCGCGCAAUGUCUACUCCCUCCAUUUCCCAGUUGUUCAUUAUUUAAUUUUUUUUUUCCCCGUCGUCCUUCCCGCUGGCUUUUCUUUCUUUCUCUCUCUCUCUUUCUCUCUCCUCUUUAUCCGGUCCGUGUGUGUGUGUGUGUAUCGACGACUAGACGAGGGAUUGUGUUUGCGCGCAUGCCCGUCCGUCGCUCGUGUGUCUGGGGCCGAGGGUUUAAAGCAACGCCAGCGUCGUUGUCUAGCCCGCAGUCUUCCGCUGGCUUCUCGACACUGCACACCUACUACUUGUACCUUGUACCUCGGGUCUGCCGAAAAUUUUUUGGACCGUUUCCUUCCAUCCUCGUCAUCCCCCCCCCCCCCUUUUUGUUAAAGCCAAUUGCCUCCCCUCAUUGGUUCGUUCGCUGUUCUUUUUCGCCUCCCUCUCAUUCGUCUUGUCCUCUCUCCCGAUAUUACACGCCUUCGUCUCUUAAGACUUUGGUGAUGGAAUUAUACAUUAAAGUGUUGUGUGUAGACACUGUCGGCUCAUCAAUCCUGAUCAUCAUCAUCCCAGUGAAAAACCCAGCGCACCUCCAAGGAAAAGUUCCAGCUCUCGGCCCAGCCCAACUUCAGUCAACUUGUUUUGGGAGGAAUGCACAGAGGAUCGUUCGUGAAGCGGCCAUCUUGUGGACGCCGUGAUAACGAAAUGGCGUCGCCCCAGCACGAUAGAACGUUCGGGAGAAAAGGCGCUGCCAAACGCUGCGAAAUGAACAAUCCUCGUCGGUAGAGCCCACGCCACCGUGUUGGUCAAGAAGCUGCUGCUGCUGCUGCUGCUGCUGCUGCUGGAAACACAAUCCCGCCACCUCAUCGUUGGGGGAAAACUUCGUUGCCGAACCACAGCCCGCUGGCAAAUCACUUAAAAAAGAAAAAAAAACUGGCGUUGUGGAGUUGGGGACAGAAGCUGAAACGAACAAGUUUCUAGACUCUCCUAGACGGAGAAAAAAGUAGAAGAAGACGACGAUGAGACUGGAUAAAACCCAAAGUUUUGACGGUUUUAGAUCCCCCUAGCUAUAUAGUACCAUUAUAUAUUUUGCCUUCAUAUUUCAACUUAGUUUGUGUGUGUGCGCGCGCAAUGAUAGAUCUCUUCUUGUUCUUGUUGGCCUUCUUUUAAUCUCUCUCUCGCUGCAAAGGAAGAAGAACUGAAGAACACGGACUGGCUUUUUUUGGCAUCUUUUUAGCCAUGCGGGCGCCCCUCUUUUCCCCCGAUGCUAGAUCGUGAGCGCGCUCCCGCCCGUCCCUCCCCGCUAUGCUCUUAUCAUUGUCUCUUUUUUCUUCUUCUUCUUCAACUCGAAGAAAAUGAAAGAAAAAAGAAAAAGAACUUGGAUUGAAGAGAGGGGAGGAGAAGAAAAGAAACGGAUAUCUGUCGACUAGACUUGAUUUGAUCGGGAUAAGAAGAAAAAAAGAAAGAAUGGGGGGUAAAUAAUAAUUCAAUUUUUUCUCGUUUGUUUUUUUUUUUUUGUUUUUUUUCAUUUCUCUUGUGUUUGGUUGGUAACGAUUUUCUUUUGUUUCUCGGACGAGAGAAUAUCUCUUUCGUCUGCCAGUUUUUCUUCUUCUUCUUCUUCUGGUUUUUCGGGCCGGAUGGGUGUGAAGCACGCGCGCGGUCACGACGAAGCGCGUGCGCUGGGUCUGGUCUGUAGUAAAGGGCGUCGUCUUUUUUUCUUCUUCUUCUUCUUCUUUUUCUUUCGGGUCGACAAAGACGUCCUCCAUCCUCCCUUUUCGUUUCCUUUCGACGUCAGCGGCCGGACCAAUCCCUGAUCGCCUAGUGUUUGCCUCCGCAACGCCGAACCAAGCCGAUGGUACGAGGGGGGUUGCAACAUGCACGCCACUUACCACACACACACACCAUCUUUGAUGUAUAUAAAAGGGAAGAAGAAGAAGAAGAAGAACUGCCGAAGAAGAAGAAGAAGAAGAAGAACACACACACAAUCUCUCCUUACUAUAUUUCCCCCCUUUUACUGCUGUGUCUGUUGUUUCUUCGCCUUUUUACUCUAUUCCCUCAAUUCUCUUCAUUCUUGUUGAGUUCCUUUUAACGUUUUUCUUUAUAGCCUCGAGACUCGGGAAUGAUGGAUCAUUUUUCUUUCUUUUUUAUUUUUCGUACGUAAGAAGAAGAAGAAGAAGAAGAAGAGGAGGGUGGUGGUGGUGUUGUUACUGGGCCGGCAUCUCCCCGACGCCCAUCUGAGCGUGUUGGAAAUGAUUCGUUCAACUGUCACUGAAUUUGUCUCUCGGCGCCCUGGACGCGAGCGUCCCCAUACAUCAGCCCGGCAACUGAUCUCGGACGGACGUCGGAAUCACAACGUUCGGCUAUUAUCACGCAGGCUAAAAGUUGCCCUUGCGCAAUAAUGCUUACGUUUACAACGGGAAUAAGAGAGAAAGAGACAUGUCUACUACUACCAAGACCCCCAAGUUCUACUUGACUUGAGUGCAGUCGUGUAUCUUGGUCAACUUGGUCGGGAUAGCGAUGGAGGAGGAAAGUUCAAGAAGAAAAAAGCUUUUUUUGAUUUCUAAAUAAUUUUAUUUUUUUAAAUCCCCCCUUUUUUUUUCUUUCCUUGUGCUAGCGGGGCUGUGAAGUCGUUUCCAAAGCGUCGGUAGUCAUUUUUCAUAUUUCUUCCUUCAACUGUUGAGUAUUUUCUUUUUCUUACGUUUUGCCUCUUGAAAAAUCUUUGCUGAAGAAAACGCCCAAAGAAGAAAACCGGACCACACCGUCUUCCCCUUUUUACUGGGCGAACAAAAUUUCCUUUUCCCCGACUUCUUUUUUAUUUUCAGAUUUUGACUCCAAACAGACGCAUCACAGACGCGUAGAUUUGAAAAGAGACUGACGGACAGACAGCUAAAGGUCCUUUUUUUUUUCUUCUUCUUCUUCUUCUUUCCUUCCUCUCGUUCUCCCUUCUUCUUCUUUUUUGGCUUUUUGUUUUGUUUUGGAAUUCCUUUUUUCCAGUCUCUGCAGCUCUUGACCAAACCCUCCCUGGAAAAAAGAAAAACUCCCUCCCUCAGUUUUGCUCGUCUGAAGAGCGCUUUCUGGGUUCCUUGGCCAGUCGGUAUGGUGUAAGAUCAUCAGUAUUUGCCCAGCCACUUACAGUCAAAGGCUGUGCCCGCAACUGCCGUGCCCGGUCUCUCUCUCUCUUUCUCUACUUUCUACUUGUGAUUUGUAAAUUGUGUCUGUGAAACAUCUCGAGGCGUUUGUGUGUCGUGGCCGGACAAACUUAGUAGUAGGUACUAGUGGACGAAAAGUAGAGGAUGAAAAGGUGGGUUCCUUUUUUUUCUUUCCAGCUCUUUUUUUGAUUUGUGUCUUUUUAGGAGCCAUUAUGAAUUGAGCACGUCAAGGCACGAGCGUGACGGUGACAUCAUGACUGUGGUCUGUGUGUGUGUGUGUGUGAGUGUGGCGUCAUCGAGUUCGAAACCCUCACGCUCUGCCGGCCGAGCAGAGAUUCUGACGUCUUUCCUUUUUAUAAAAUUUGAUUUGUCGCCUUCACUUUGUCAUUUGUUUUGUGUGUGCCUCGACGUUUCACGUCCGCCUGCCGGGCCUGAUCCUUUGCUCAACCUGUGAUCGUAAACCUUGUAUUACCCUCCUUUGCGGGAGGAGGUGAGCAAAGUUUCAGGUGCGUCAGUUGGAUCGUCUUUCUCACCGCACAAUUGUUUUUAAAACAAAAAAAAAUAUUCAACAAUUGCAACGAAAAUGUCCAUCUAGAUUUGGUGUAUUUACGCUCUCAGCCUGAUCCUUGCUCGACCUAAGCCUUUGACAAUGAGCGAGGUGAGCAAAGUUUCAGGUGCGUGAGCGGCACCUCCAGUCGUCCGAUCCGUUUUCCGUUAUUGUGUGUUUUUUUUAAAAUUAUUAUUCGGUAAAUGGUGAACUCUUUUAUUUUGUGUGUGUGUGUUUGAAAUGGGUUUUGUCGUCCGUUUGUUCUCAUCUGAAUAAUACACGACGUGCGGCUUUUA